rnacentral:sRNA from 1 species
GACUCGAGCGAAGCGAGAGAACGUUGCGUCAGCAACGGCCCGCAGGGCGAGCCACAAAGUGGCGAGUCAUCCUCUAUCACCGACCA